UAUUGACGUCAGCGACUCGAGGUACUCC
rnacentral:sRNA from 1 species